AUGGCGAGCCAGAACCUAGGAGACAUUCCGCCGGUGCUGCCAAUCGUGGGUUGCCCGGACUGCGGCAGGAAGGUAGUCACGUACGGUAGCUCGCCGCGGGCAGCAUGUGGGCGAGCGCUUCUACAAGUGCCGCUACCACAAUGUGAGGGGGGGUUUCUGUGUUUAUGGGAGAGUUUUCGGUUCGGGAUCCUUUUUUGUGAUUUGAUUUGUUUGUCAUCUCACCGUCGUUGCAUCUUUCCGUUGUUGAUCUUCCGCAGCCAUCAGCAGGGGGAUGUGAUUUCUACAGGUGGCAAGAAGCGUACGCCGAGCACCUCGCAUCAAAUCCACAGGCGCAGAUCCAGGCGGCGCAAGUUGGUCAAGGUGCGCAGGCGCCGGUCGGGGCGGAGGGGCACCAGAACGUGGCGCCGGGGGGAUCUCAGUUUGGCUCGUCGGCAAGCGAAGAGCUGUUUUUUGCUACUUGUAAAUGCCAUAUAUGUGGUAGAUAGGAGAUGGAUGGAGAUGGACCAAAUGUGGUGGUUGGGACCUUGCAUGAUUCUCAAGGCUCUGUCCGAAACCAAUUUCCCAGGAAUACAGAUUGUAGUAGUCAUAUGCUUCUCCGAGAGAAUCAAAGCUGUCGCCGACAGCAGGAACUACAAUUCUCUUCUUCUCUGCGUAGCAUCUCAACGUUUUUUCAAGUGCGCUUAUUCUGUCCGCGCAUGGAGGACGCUCAAGAGGGGCUCGGCCAAUACGUACUCUGCAACACCCACACAUGGAGCAUCACCAGAGGCUUGGCUUUCGUCUUUGCCGGCCGACUGCUCCGAGCUUGGUGCUGACAAGCUGACCCCUUCGCAGCUGGCGCCCCCAUCUAGCUGUACCGUCGACGCUCGACUGCGCGGCUGCGCACACGAGUGUUUGGGUGGUUGCGGCAUCAAGCACAGCCUCGCCGCUGCCGAGAUCCCGCAACGGAAACCUUCAGCAGGACAGGCGGCAGCAGUGCAGUACCUGUCAACGGGAUCUGCCAAGAACUCGAGGCCGCCGGAUGCGGCAUCCUCCGUCGCCAUUCCUAUGGUUUCCAUUGUGGCGGAGGACUUGGUGCUACAGAUUUUCACAUCUGUGUAUACAGUUCGGCUGGCUAGCGCGGUACCGACCACAACAGAAGGUCUAGAGAUCAAAUUCCAGAUUAUUACAUAUGGGCCGACCCACAUAAGGAGUUACGCCAGCGAGAAGCUCCAGCUGCGAAGCAUGCAUCGGGUUUUGGAUCUUCUAGUGUCCACUCAGGUGUCACGUGUCGCCACAAGAGCUGCCGCCGGCCACGUCGUGCUCUGCAUGGAGCGAACCUCCAUGGAUGCCCCUGCGCGAGCCAUGAAGACUAAGAAAAACGCCAGAACCAACAUGCGGACCUCCAUAGAUUCCAGCGAUACAACCGCAGGCUCUGGUUUCAGGAGAGAGAGGGGGAAGGGGAUUGGGAUAGAAGAUGGAUAUGACAUAUGUGGGGCAGGGAUGUCAGUGAAAGUAGCCUGUGAUCCCGGGCGGGAUGAAUCUUUUCCAGCUAGUUCCUUCCUACCUCCAUGUCCACUUCAUCAGAACAUCACCAUAUGUAAGAAUCACCUCAAGCAUCAACCACCUGAGCCAACUGUGCAUGUACGUCUUGGCUUCCAGCUCCUGUUCCCAUCAUCCACUAUCUCGUCGACCCCAUCGACCUCUACCUGGCUACCCGCUGCCACUGUCAUCCUUCACUGGUGCUUCGCGCGGCUCACCUCAUCUUACGCCUCCUGCAGCCUCUUGAGGAGGCUUCGCCAGGGCCAGGCCUGUUGCGCAAUCUCAUCAGCCACCUUGGCAUCUCCCCUCGACGUGGUGGCGACGGUGGUGGUCAUGCUCCUUUUUCUUUUGCCACUCUUACACAACAGCCCCAACGUGAUCCUCUCCGGCAUCAAUAUCACCGCCGUGGCCAGGCUAAUCGACGUAUAUGGCCCUGCCAAGCUGUGGAAGGUGGACAAGCUGAUUUCCCGGCGUGCGUCGCCGCAUUAUUCGGCGUGCUCCUCGUUUCCGUCAAGAUCGGUCUGCCGUGGCCGUCGGGAUCUCGCUGUUGAAGAUCAUGUGCACGUGAGACGGGAGAGAACAAACGGGGAAAACAACUUGGACAUUAUAUAUACUGGUCAAUAG
rnacentral:rRNA from 1 species